UUAAAUGAUCAUGAUACUCUUCAUUCACACAUAACUUCAAAUAGUCCUCUCCUCCUUGGAUUCUCUUUAUCAUGUGUGUUUAUCCUCUUAUCGUCUUGCCUCACCAUCGUCAUUCAUCCAUCAUAUCAUCUCGCUCAACUCGCACUCAAUGCUCCCUCGUCCGAUGACCACAGUUCGAAGGUCAUUCCCUUGGUUUCUUCCAUUUGCAAGACGCUCUUCUUCUCUUGUCGCUUUGUUCAUGUGUUCUUCGUUCGACUUCAAUAGAUCUAAGGCCACGCACAUCAACGACCUUCAUUCUGUCAUAGAUCAUGGUGCUUCUUGUAUUGUGGAGACAUUUUGGAGCUUAGAGAAGGAAAAAUCACUUCAUGCAUCUAAGUUCAUCCCAUCUGUCAGUUAAUCGAGCUCACAAACUAGGUAAAGGCUCCGGUAGGGGUAAGGGGAAGAAAGGAGCAUCUGAAGAGUGAAGAGCAUUGUAGUAUAGCUCUUCCCUUUCUCUUUUUUGGUUUUGUAAUGAAUAUUAUCACUAAAUAUUGCUAACUUAGGAACAUGACAUUGUUUGGAUAUCACUUAUAUGAAUUUGUGAUAAGUUGUAUAUCUUGGUCCAAGAAUGGUGUUAUGGAUUAGGUGUGCUUGGCCAAGUUACUUACAUGUAAUAUAUGUCAAGUGUUUUGAGUGUCAAAAUGACCAAUUGAUUAAUGUGUUGAACUUUGUUCACCAUGUUAUGUUAUUGUCCAA